GCGUAAAGGGCUCGCAGGCGGUUUCUUAAGUCUGAUGUGAAAGCCCCCGGCUCAACCGGGGAGGGUCAUUGGAAACUGGGAAACUUGAGUGCAGAAGAGGAGAGUGGAAUUCCACGUGUAGCGGUGAAAUGCGUAGAGAUGUGGAGGAACACCAGUGGCGAAGGCGACUCUCUGGUCUGUAACUGACGCUGAGGAGCGAAAGCGUGGGGAGCGAACAGGAUUAGAUACCCUGGUAGUCCACGCCGUAAACGAUGAGUGCUAAGUGUUAGGGGGUUUCCGCCCCUUAGUGCUGCAGCUAACGCAUUAAGCACUCCGCCUGGGGAGUACGGUCGCAAGACUGAAACUCAAAGGAAUUGACGGGGGCCCGCACAAGCGGUGGAGCAUGUGGUUUAAUUCGAAGCAACGCGAAGAACCUUACCAGGUCUUGACAUCCUCUGACAACCCUAGAGAUAGGGCUUUCCCUUCGGGGACAGAGUGACAGGUGGUGCAUGGUUGUCGUCAGCUCGUGUCGUGAGAUGUUGGGUUAAGUCCCGCAACGAGCGCAACCCUUGAUCUUAGUUGCCAGCAUUCAGUUGGGCACUCUAAGGUGACUGCCGGUGACAAACCGGAGGAAGGUGGGGAUGACGUCAAAUCAUCAUGCCCCUUAUGACCUGAGCUACACACGUGCUACAAUGGACAGAACAAAGGGCUGCAAGACCGCAAGGUUUAGCCAAUCCCAUAAAUCUGUUCUCAGUUCGGAUCGCAGUCUGCAACUCGACUGCGUGAAGCUGGAAUCGCUAGUAAUCGCGGAUC
rnacentral:rRNA from 1 species